GCAUUUUUCCAAGUAAAUCAAAUCCAAUUCAUCACUUGCACCCCCGUUUUUUCCUUUUUUCCUUCCUUGUUUUUUGCUUUUGUUUUUUUCUUUUUUUCAUUUUUUCUUUUUCCUUUUUUCUUUUACUUUUCCUUUUUUUUUUGCAAUUAUUUUUCUUUUCUUUUUCUUUUCCUUUUUUUUUCUUCUUUUUUUCUUUUACUAUUUUUUGCUUUUUUUUAUUCUUUCUUCGUUUCUUUUUUUAUUUGUAAUUAUUUUUUUUAAAACUAAACAAAAUUGUAAAAUAAAAUUAAGAAUAACAAAAUAACAUAAAAUAAAAUAAAUAAUAAAAAAAUAAAAGAAAAUAAAUGAAAUAGGACAACAAUAAAAAUCAAGUCUCAUUAUUUAGUCACCCGGACGAAAUUGGGUGUUGACACAUUCAAUCAAGUUUUAAGGAUUACAAAAGGCGUGUCUCUCUUUUUAUAGGUGAAGGAGAAGGCUAAAGUACAUGGAAUAUUUAGGAGUCUUUCCAUCAUUUAAUGAGGAGCCUCAUCAUUAAAUGAGGAGCCUAAACAUUAAAUGUGAGUAGCCUUAAGCUUUGUAACUAACUUAGCCAAAGCAUUUAAUCUUGCAACUAACUCCUUCCAAC
rnacentral:lncRNA from 1 species